rnacentral:rRNA from 1 species
CCUACGGGAGGCAGCAGUGAGGAAUAUUGGUCAAUGGACGAGAGUCUGAACCAGCCAAGUAGCGUGAAGGAUGACUGCCCUAUGGGUUGUAAACUUCUUUUAUAGGGGAAUAAAACAGGGUAGGCAUACCCUCUUGUAUGUACCAUAUGAAUAAGGAUAGGCUAACUCCGUGCCAGCAGCCGCGGUAAUACGGAGGAUCCGAGCGUUAUCCGGAUUUAUUGGGUUUAAAGGGAGCGUAGGUGUCUUGUUAAGUAAGUUUUGAAAGUUUGCGGCUCAACCGUAAAAUUGCAGUUGAUACUGGCAGUCUUGAGUACAGUAGAGGUGGGCGCAAUUCGUUGUGUAGCGGUGACAUGCUUAGAUAUCACGAAGAACUCCGAUUGCGACGGCAGCUCACUGUACUGCAACUGACACUGAUGCUCGAAAGUGUGGGUAUCAAACAGGAUUAGAUACCCGAGUAGUC